GACAGAGGGUGCAAACGUUGCUCGGAAUUACUGGGCGUAAAGCGCGUGUAGGCGGAUCGCUAAGUCAGGUGUGAAAUCCCUGGGCUCAACCCGGGAACUGCAUCUGAAACUGGCGGUCUUGAGUGCUGGAGAGGGAAGCGGAAUUCCUGGUGUAGAGGUGAAAUUCGUAGAUAUCAGGAGGAACACCGGUGGCGAAGGCGGCUUCCUGGACAGUAACUGACGCUGAGACGCGAAAGCGUGGGGAGCAAACAGG
rnacentral:rRNA from 1 species